UACGUAGGCAGCGAGCGUUGUUCGGAGUUACUGGGCGUAAAGAGUGCGUAGGCGGUUUUCUAAGUUUGGUGUGAAAUCUCCCGGCUUAACUGGGAGGGUGCGCCGAAGACUGGAAGGCUUGAGUAUGGGAGAGGUAAGCGGAAUUCCUGGUGUAGCGGUGAAAUGCGCAGAUAUCAGGAGGAACACCGAUGGCGAAGGCAGGUCUCUGGGCCGAUACUGACGCUGAGGAGCGAAAGCGUGGGGAGCGAACAGG
rnacentral:rRNA from 1 species